rnacentral:rRNA from 1 species
AACGAACGCUGGCGGCAGGCCUAACACAUGCAAGUCGAACGCUGUAGCAAUACAGAGUGGCAGACGGGUGAGUAACGCGUGGGAAUCUUCCUAUCGGUACGGAAUAGCUCAGGGAAACUUGGGUAAUACCGGAUAAGCCCUUCGGGGGAAAGAUUUAUCGCCAAUGGAUGGGCCCGCGUCGGAUUAGCUAGUUGGUGGGGUAACGGCCUACCAAGGCUACGAUCCGUAGCUGGUCUGAGAGGAUGAUCAGCCACACUGGGACUGAGACACGGCCCAGACUCCUACGGGAGGCAGCAGUGGGGAAUAUUGGACAAUGGGCGCAAGCCUGAUCCAGCCAUGCCGCGUGAGUGACGAAGGUCUUCGGAUUGUAAAGCUCUUUUGGCGGGGAAGAUAAUGACGGUACCCGCAGAAUAAGCCCCGGCUAACUUCGUGCCAGCCGCCGCGGUAACAC